AUCUAAGUACCCCGAGGAAAAGAAAUCAACCGAGAUUCCCCCAGUAGCGGCGAGCGAACGGGGAGGAGCCCAGAGCCUGAAUCAGCAUGUGUGUUAGUGGAAGCGUCUGGAAAGGCGCGCGAUACAGGGUGACAGCCCCGUACACAAAAGCGCAUGUGUUGUGAGCUCGAUGAGUAGGGCGGGACACGUGGUAUCCUGUCUGAAUAUGGGGGGACCAUCCUCCAAGGCUAAAUACUCCUGACUGACCGAUAGUGAACCAGUACCGUGAGGGAAAGGCGAAAAGAACCCCGGCGAGGGGAGUGAAAAAGAACCUGAAACCGUGUACGUACAAGCAGUGGGAGCACCCUUUGGGGUGUGACUGCGUACCUUUUGUAUAAUGGGUCAGCGACUUAUAUUCUGUAGCAAGGUUAACCGAAUAGGGGAGCCGGAGGGAAACCGAGUCUUAAUUGGGCGUUAAGUUGCAGGGUAUAGACCCGAAACCCGGUGAUCUAGCCAUGGGCAGGUUGAAGGUUGGGUAACACUAACUGGAGGACCGAACCGACUAAUGUUGAAAAAUUAGCGGAUGACCUGUGGCUGGGGGUGAAAGGCCAAUCAAACCGGGAGAUAGCUGGUUCUCCCCGAAAGCUAUUUAGGUAGCGCCUCGUGAAUUCAUCUCCGGGGGUAGAGCACUGUUUCGGCUAGGGGGCCAUCCCGGCUUACCAACCCGAUGCAAACUGCGAAUACCGGAGAAUGUUAUCACGGGAGACACACGGCGGGUGCUAACGUCCGUCGUGAAGAGGGAAACAACCCAGACCGCCAGCUAAGGUCCCAAAGUCAUGGUUAAGUGGGAAACGAUGUGGGAAGGCCCAGACAGCCAGGAUGUUGGCUUAGAAGCAGCCAUCAUUUAAAGAAAGCGUAAUAGCUCACUGGUCGAGUCGGCCUGCGCG
rnacentral:rRNA from 1 species